AAAUAUGAAGCGAUUUAUUGCAAUUAGUUUCGACCUAAUCUUAGGUAUAAUACCCUUAUUUA
rnacentral:tRNA from 1 species